AUGCGCCCCCAACCACUGGGCUAUGCCCACGUCCUCAGACCCACACAAAUGUCCUCAGAGAAAUAUGGGGCAGGGCAUGGAAAAACCAAGAAACGUGACCGUGACGAUGGGUUUGCUGCAAUUGAGGAGAAGAUGAUGGAGGAUCCAUCCAGCAUUACGAAGUGUAUCAGAACAAUCGAAAAGUUACAAGAUCUGCAAGUAGAUGAUAUUUUAGUGGCAGCAGAUAUCUUCAAAACUAAGGAGAACAGGGAAGUUUUCUUAUCCUUCUCUAGAGAUGAUCUUCGCUUGGCUUGGAUUAGAAGGGAGAUUGCGCGCAGCCAGCCAUACAAUUGGAAUUAG
rnacentral:rRNA from 1 species